AGAAUCAACGCUGGCGGCGUGCCUAACACAUGCAAGUCGAACGCGAAAGUGGAGCAAUCCAUGAGUAGAGUGGCAAACGGGUGAGUAACACGUGGGUGACCUGCCUUCGAGCGGGGGAUAACGUCCCGAAAGGGACGCUAAUACCGCAUAACAUCCUGCCUUUUAAGAGGUGGAGAUCAAAGCCGGGGAUCGCAAGACCUGGCACUUGAAGAGGGGCCCGCGCCUGAUUAGCUAGUUGGUGGGUAAUGGCUCACCAAGGCAACGAUCAGUA
rnacentral:rRNA from 1 species